CCUACGGGUGGCAGCAGUGGGGAAUAUUGCGCAAUGGGCGAAAGCCUGACGCAGCGACGCCGCGUGAGGGAUGAAGGUCUUCGGAUCGUAAACCUCUGUCAGCAGGGAAGAACGGUCACUGUGCUAAUCAGCAGUGAAUUGACGGUACCUGCAAAGGAAGCACCGGCUAACUCCGUGCCAGCAGCCGCGGUAAUACGGAGGGUGCGAGCGUUAAUCGGAAUUACUGGGCGUAAAGCGCUCGUAGGCGGUAUGUCAAGUCAAGGGUGAAAUCCCCGCGCUCAACGUGGGAACUGCCUUUGAAACUGGCAAACUGGAGUGUGUGAGAGGAUAGUGGAAUUCCAGGUGUAGGAGUGAAAUGCGUAGAUAUCUGGCGGAACAUCAGUGGCGAAGGCGAUUAUCUGGCACAUAACUGACGCUGAGGAGCGAAAGCGUGGGUAGCAAACAGGAUUAGAUACCCGAGUAGUC
rnacentral:rRNA from 1 species